AAGGGGCGGCAGCGAGAGGGACCGCUUCGGUGACAGGCCUGGGGCGGGACCAGAGGACGUUCCGGGACGGAUUGGUCAAAGUCGUGCGUCCGGGCGCACGGCACGUUGGGAAGCGAGCAGCUGGAUUGGCUGCUUGCCUCGCAGAGGGGGCGGGCCUUUUGUUCCCGGACGCGACGAUUGGUCUUUCCAAAUGCCGGAAGCGACGAGGGGAACGGUCGAAAGCCGGGAUCCAGCGUCCACGGAGCGGGGAGAUGAGGUUAUCGGCGGCGGCGCUGGGCCUCAGCCCGGCAGCCUCGGCCCCUGAUCCGAGUCCCCCCGCCCGCGCGGCUUGAGGAGACCAGGCGGCGCGCGCUGGUGCGGGCGGACCGCGGCCGUCGCGCCCCUGCCCUGUGGUUAAGUGGAGGCGCGCGCGGUGCUCCGCGUGCGGCGGGUGCGGACAGCAAGGACCGCGCCCGCCUCGCAGGGCCACCGGGAGGACUGCGCGAGGAGUGUGCGCGGCCCUUGGCCGGGACUCGGCACGUAGGAAACUGGUCCCUCCGCAGCGGCUGCCUUCCAGGCUCCGAUUUCCCCGCUCCCAGCCAGUAACUUCCCUGGGUGAGCGGGGCGCCGUGGGCUGUCGAGCACCCGCGGGAUGAUGACCCAGGGUCCCGGUGGACACCUCAUUUAAUCUCUACACCCAACGUGGAGCUCGAACUCAUGACCCUGAGAUCAACAAUUACAUGCUCUUCUGACUGAGCCAGCCAGGCACCCUCAAGUUCCCUUUUUAAGCGCAUAAAAUUCACAUAUCUUUGAUAAAGAAUAACCCUAAUGACAUUGGAAUUGCCAUGAUUGAGACCAGGGGUUCACCAACUGUGGUUCAGGGACCCCUGGAGGCCGCCCAAGACCUUUCUGGGGGUCAGCAAAAGUCUGGCAGUCUGGAGGGCAUGGCUGCAGGCUGUCAGCAAAGGCAGCUAUUCUCAAGAAGGCAAUCCAGAGCCCUGGCGUCUGGAAGAUUGAGUUGAAUGUCACCAGACUGGAAGGUGUACCAGUUAACAAGGGAAGGAGGGAGAGAGGAGUGGUCCCACUGAGUCUGGGGAGAGGGUGAAAGGCUGUGUGCCAAGAUAGAGAAGUACCAGGCCUCAGCAGUUUGGAGCUAGCAGAUGGCCACUGGAGCUGUCCUGCAGGUCACGUAUGUACCAGCCUGGUGGUGAGAAGCAGAAACCUUUGGAGAUGAGCUUGCUGGAGGGGACGUCCAGGCCCAGGCGGCAGAAGCCCGGAGGAUGUCAGUCACUCAGCACUUUCCUGGAGCAGGCAGCCUGGGAAUGCUCACCCCUCCCUGCUUCACCAGCCUGCUCAGAGACAGAGACUGCGCUUUAUGGAACAGAAGCUCAGUGAGGACAAGCAUCUGUCCACUGCUGUGUCCCUAGCGCCUAGGUCGUGGCCACAGAAACACGCGGGAAUGAGCCAGCAGUCUCUGAGAACCAGGCGUUAGAAGGUCUCAGUGAACAAAGGCAAGGUUUUCCUUAGCGGGAGGCACACAAGGGAGAGACGUCUGGGAACACUGGCCUGUCGCUGUGUCUCUCCCUGUUACACUGCGGCUGUCCGAGUUCAGUGUGCCUCACGGCAACUUCUACGGAAGUAGGUCCACCGUUCAUUUGCUGAAAAGCCAUGAUGGCCAUAGACCUCUAGGAUCUAGCAAGCUGGUGAACACUCAGUGCCUUAAUGGAAGGGCACAGAGACCUAGGACCGUCCUUGUUCAGGGGAAGAGCAUGCUCUGUCCAACCCCGCGAAAAGGAGUCGCUCGGCUGCCUGCUGCUGACUGUGGGUCAGGGAGCGGAGACACGGCGGACCUGGUCACUGGCUACAUCCUAGACCAGCAAGCAGAGGACCCUGUUGGCUACAGGGCACAUUCAACUGCAAGCGGUCUGGGGGACCCUGGGCCUCUGGCUAGUGACGACUCCCCAGUAGCUAGUGAACCUGGACAGGCAAACCCCAACUUGGACCAACAACACCCCAAAAACCCAACAUAAACUUGCAUCUAAAGAAACGGGGCGGCUCGUGAUGAGGAGACGAGGCGGGGGGUCCCACCCGCAGUGACUGGAUCUAGGGGCGCAAACCAGGUUGCCCCACGCCUCACCUGCAGCCUUUGCUCCUUUACACGUGGGCCUCCUGGCUUUCUCCACAGGGUGGGAGAGGGGGGAGUGGCCUGCUCGGUCCAUCCUCUCCAUGACCCCAAAGGCAGUCCCUUCAUCUUCAAACAGGAGCUCUAAGGAAGGACGCCAUUGGCUGGCUUUGCAUUCCUGAACCAAUCGUCGCGCGGAUUAAUGCAGCCCUAGGAAGGGCUGGGGUCGCGUGACCAGGGGAUCAGGAUCGGAGGGGUGGAUGUUGCUGAACAGACGUGAACAACAGACAGCUUCUGUAAUCAUCACUGUGGUCCGCGGGCUCUCAGGAGACCCUCGGUGAUGCCCACCCCCUGGAAUUCACACCCUGGGGCCGUCCCUGCCACACGCUCCACGUGGCGAAGAGCUCAGGUCUCCUGCCAACAGCCAGGUGAGGGCACCCCCUGGAGAGCCACCCUCCAGCACCAGGAAAGCUUCUCCUGGACCGCACCCUUGGACAAGGAGGACAGAUGGGGAGCAGCUUGCCUGAAGCAGGAACUUGAGAGCCCAGGACCCCCACCAGCCAAGGAACAGCUGCAGGGGUGGGAGCAGCAGAGGUCCUCUCUGCUCCUUCCUUCCACAUCCCCCACCAAG